CUUCAAUCUUGGAGAAUGCCUACUACUGAAAACCACUAACGUUUCUCCGUCUCAUCAUUUUAUCCUGUUAAUUCAGGUUUGUUAUCUGAUGACCACAUCUCAGUCCGAGGCGUGUAACAGAUUUUGGGGGGCUCGUCCGGGAUCGGUGCCACCUUCAGGAGGUAGCUGAUCCAGAGCUCGAUGAACCAGGGACAGCGUGACUUGUGACCAGAGCGAGAGGACUACGAGUGGGUGACUAAGCAGCGGCAGGUGACCAGCGUGAAAGGGGAUCCUGGCAGAGAGAGUGCAGCACUACGUACCUGAAGUGUUUGGAAGCGUGGUUCAUGUCCGACGACAAAAGGAAGGGACUGGUCUGGGCCAUUAAGAAGAGGUUGUCUACGCUGACAUCUGAUCCAGUUGGCUGAAAGUCUUGAUGUGGUACCAGAGCUAGACCCAGCUUGUGUGAAUUAAUGUGUUGUAAGACCCUACUUGAGCUAGAGCAGUGGUUCCCAAACUUUUUAUAGUCCCGUACCCCUUCAAACAUUCAACCUCCAGCUGCGUACCCACUCUAGCACUAGCGUCAGCGCACUCUCAAAUGUUGUUUUUUUGUAAGCCUGCCACACACACACUAUACGAUACAUUUAUUAAACAUAAGAACGAGUGUGAGUUUUUGUCACAACCCGGCUCGUGGGAAGUGACAGAGAGCUCUUAUAGGACCAGGGCACAAAUAAUAAUAUAAUAAUAAUCAAUAAUUUUGCUCUUUAUUUAGCCAUCUUACAUAUAAAACCUUAUUUGCUCAUCAGAAAUUGUGAAUAACUCACCACAGCUUAAUGAGAAGGGUGUGCUUGAAAGGAUGCACAUAAUUCUGCAAUGUUGGGUUGUAUUGGAGAGAGUCUGUCUUAAAUUAUUUUCCACA